GCCAGACUCCUACGGGAGGCAGCAGUGGGGGAUAUUGCACAAUGGGGGGAACCCUGAUGCAGCGACGCCGCGUGGGUGAAGGAGUGCUUCGGCAUGUAAAGCCCUAUCGGCAGGGAAGAAGCAAGACGGUACCUGACUAAGAAGCCCCGGCUAACUACGUGCCAGCAGCCGCGGGAAUACGUAGGGAGCAAGCGUUGUCCGGAUUUACUGGGUGUAAAGGGCGUGCAGCCGGGCCGACAAGUCAGAUGUGAAAUCCGCGGGCUUAACCCGCGAACUGCAUUUGAAACUAUAGGUCUUGAGUGCCGGAGAGGUAAUCGGAAUUCCUUGUGUAGCGGUGAAAUGCGUAGAUAUAAGGAAGAACACCAGUGGCGAAGGCGGAUUACUGGACGGUAACUGACGGUGAGGCGCGAAAGCGUGGGGAGCAAACAGGAUUAGAUACCCGCGUAU
rnacentral:rRNA from 1 species